AUUUUUUUUUCAUCCUAUACAAUCACUGUCUAAUCAAUCCUGAAUCAUCUGUUUUUGCAGACUGUUUUAUCCUAUAAAAGAUGGCAGAUGUUUCGAAAUUUAAGACGGUUAUCCAUACUCGCCGAAUCAUGGUCAACAAGCUGCUUAACCGCAAGCAAUUCAUCGUUGAUGUCAUACAUCCCCUCCGAGGAACAGUACCAAAGGAUGAAAUUCGCGAAAGAUUAAAGGAAAUGUACAAAGUUCGAAGUGUCAAAUUGGUUAUUGUUUUCGGUUUCCACACUAAAUUUGGAGGUGGGAAGAGUACUGGAUUUGGCUUUGUCUACGAUAACAUGAAGUCACUUCGUCAAUUUGAACCCAAGUAUAGACGCAUACGUUUCAACUUGUCUAAGAAGAAGGACAGACUAUCUCGCCAAGCACGCCGAGUUCGUAAAAACAAGGCCAAGCGUGCACGCGGUAAAAAGAAAUCGGAAAUUCUUUCUGGAUCAUCUGGAAAGAAAUAAAUACAAUUUUACAUUUUCUACCAUAGGUCAUAAAUCUAAAAAAAUAUAUUCUA